rnacentral:rRNA from 1 species
GACAGAGGAUGCAAGCGUUAUCCGGAAUGAUUGGGCGUAAAGCGUCUGUAGGUGGCUUUUAAGUCCGCCGUCAAAUCCCAGGGCUCAACCCUGGACAGGCGGUGGAAACUACCAAGCUGGAGUACGGUAGGGGCAGGAGGGAAUUUCCGGUGGAGCGGUGAAAUGCGUAGAGAUCGGAAAGAACACCACGGCGAAGCACUCUGCUGGGCCGACACUGACACUGAGAGACGAAAGCUAGGGGAGCGAAUGGG